CCCUGUUUUGCCACGGUGUUAAGUUUGGUCGGAUUAAAGCAAAAAACAAAAAAAAUAAUUCCAUGUGAAAUGACGAGAAUUUUUUGUUCUGGCCAGCUUCUCACCCUACAUAUAGCGGCGGUGACUAUCUAGGGUAUGACUGUCGCUGAGCUUGUGCGGUGCAGUCAGGUCGGUGACCCCGCCUGAUCUCACUACAGGAAGCAGAUGAUUUGCUA
rnacentral:lncRNA from 1 species